rnacentral:misc_RNA from 1 species
UUAAGUUCAGCGGGUAUCCUUAUCUGAUCUGAGGUCAAACCUUGAGAUGGGUAGGUUUUGUUCAGGCCGUACCGUUCGCGCUCCCUCCAACAAGUAGGUUUACUAUGUUUUCGGUCAGGCGGAGCGGCCAGCAGAGCUUACAACUUUAAAGCCGGGGCGGGUGUUACGCCGUUCCGGGCUCAGAACCGACAGGUGUCGAG